rnacentral:lncRNA from 1 species
CUCGUAAAUGGCGGGGAUGUUGGGAGCGACAACGGACACAACGUGUCCUCUGGUGAUGCCGAUGGAUGAGAGGGAAGAAGCUAGCUGGAGACAUCGACGGUGAGUUUGUGACCACGUGUAGAUGAGGUUGUUGUAGAUGAUUGAGGGACAAUCGCCGUAAACGGUUGCUGCUCUUUCGAGGAAACCUAACGGCGUUAGUGGAGAUGAAUUUGCUGUGCAUGGUUUUAGCUCAUCCAUUUUAUUGUUUUUUUUUUCCUCUCUUUUCUUUUUCUCUGUGUGCUGGAGAUGAUAAGGUUUGAGUAAGUUACCAGAAAGUUGGGAUAUGUCUCCCGCGUUCGGUGUCUGUUAAACGCAUGCGGCCAAACUUAGAAAUCUUAUAAAAGCAUAGAAAAAAAAAUUAUUGGACACAAAUAUAUUAGAAAAGAGCAAAAUAAAUUAAUUCCAAGUUCUGUUGAGCAUGCGGAUUGAUAUCACUUAUCCUCUUGGGAAAUUGCAGGAUUAAUAAUUUCCUUGAGUGUCAAUGUAGCCAAUAGCCAACGGUGGAGAUUUAUCGCAUGAUUGGGAGGGUAGCGAACUGGUCACAUCAUUUUGUAAGAUGACGUGUUUCCUUUGACUUUUAGAUAGCUUUGGACAUUGUUGCUUUUUGUGAAUUUUUUAAAUUUAUUUAUUAAUUUAUCCUUUCAAUAAAUUAAUUUUUUUAAUUUAUUUAUUCGUUGAAUGGAUGUAGUUUACAUUAUCUCUUCAAAGAUUUGUGAGAUAAUUCUCACUGAAGUAGAUAUGGCCAUGCCCGCUGGCUGCUGAAGCAAUGGGCAUGGCUUAAACUAUUCCGAAGGAUAAGCCAGUUGGCUUUUCUCAAAGCGAUAGAUUCAUUUAGGAAGGGGUUAAUUUUGGAUUAUUCUCCUCACUAUCUUAAAAUCACUCUUUUUUAUUUUUAAAAAUUUUAAUUUAUCUCCUAUUUUAUUAAGAAGACAAAAAUAAAAAAAUCAUUAAUCUACCCACAUUUAUUCUCUUAUCUUUUGACUAGAUAUUAGGGUAAUUUAAAGUUUUCAAAAGAAAAUGAUUAAUAUGAAGAUAAUUAAUUUACGAAGAGAAUAAUCUCAAAUUUUCUUUUAGGAUUUGAGGAGGGGUGGGGAUGCAAUAGAACUAUAUAUAUAUAUAUAACUUUACUAGAAGAUAUUUUAUGAGGAACUUUAUUGAAUAAAUGGAUGAGGUUAUAAUGACAAUUAAUUUUUUUUUUUUGUCUGAACCACGAGGUGGUCUUGAGUGGGCCCCAACUUUGAGAAACACCUUUAAGCCCGUAUCACGACUCAGACUAAUCUCCGCUCGCACCGGGUCGGCCCGUAAGGGGUAAAGUGCUGGUCAAAGUGGUGACUCCAUACGAAAGCGGGGCUUGAACUCCUAACCUCUCUUAAGGAG